rnacentral:rRNA from 1 species
GACGAACGCUGGCGGCGUGCUUAACACAUGCCAGUCGAACGCUGAAGCUCAGCUUUUGUUGGGUGGAUGAGUGGCGAACGGGUGAGUAACACGUGAGUAACCUGCCCCCUUCUUUGGGAUAACGUCCGGAAACGGGUGCUAAUACUGGAUAUUCACUGGUCUUCGCAUGGGGGUUGGUGGAAAGGGUUUUUCUGGUGGGGGAUGGGCUCGCGGCCUAUCAGCUUGUUGGUGGGGUGAUGGCCUACCAAGGCUUUGACGGGUAGCCGGCCUGAGAGGGUGACCGGUCACAUUGGGACUGAGAUACGGCCCAGAAUCCUACGGGAGGCAGCAGUGGGGAAUAUUGCACAAUGGGCGCAAGCCUGAUGCAGCGACGCCGCGUGAGGGAUGGAGGCCUUCGGGUUGUGAACCUCUUUCGCUCAUGGUCAAGCCGCAACAAUGGUUGUGGGGAGGGUAGUGGGUAAAGAAGCGCCGGCUAACUACGU